GACGAGAUGCUGAGCGUGAGCCUUGCGCCGAUCGCGAUGGGCUCCUUGGCUUCAAUUAAAUCGAUGUCUAGCAUAACAUAGAGGGAAAAAAGAAUCGAACCAAAAGCAAGGAGUCUAAACGUAAGGUAAGUUUACCGGCUGGACCACUGGGGAGCUCCUGAAGAUUUUGUUGUAGUUCUCUUCUCGGUUUAGCAUCUUGAUUUGUUUCGACUCACCUGCGAGUAAGCCAUCAGCCAAUGCGUCUAAAGAAGUGACAAAGAAAAAAACUUACCGUGAAGUCUUUGGUACGCCAGAUCUUUAGCUUCGCACGACUCUUGAAGCUUCACGUACAGCUGCUCUAAGUAUGUAAUUCUCUCCACAUCUUCUGGUUUUGACUCUUGGUUAUCAAAUCGGCUCUGGAAAAGGCAAAGUAAAAAUCUUGUCAACAGGACACAAAGAGACGUUACCUUCAGCUUCACAAACUGUUGCUGUAGCUCUGUCAUUUCUGCUUGCUUUUGCCUCAUCACAAGCUGGCGAUUCCAAGAUUGAUACAGAAGAAUGUAAAAGGGAAACAAGCUACCUUGCUACGGUUGAGAUCUUGUUGGAGAUUUUGGUAUUGCUGUGCAUGAAUGUUGCAGGCGUCUAGCUCGGUCCGGUAUUUCUUUUCCAGUUGCUUUGCCAUAGCUUCCUUGUCCUUGGAAAACUUGCACCGCUGAAAGUUGAAGCUGGCAGUACAAAGAAAGGAAUACGUGCGGCUUGACUAUAUUAAAGCUUACGCUUUCUCAUGGCUGAGCCUCAACUCCUUCAAAGCAGAUUCGCUCUUUAUUUCAAUCUCACGGCUGUUAUCGCUUAAAUCUUUCAGUUUUUUCUCCUGUAAGAAUCAAAAGUGAGAGACUAAAUGCCCUUUCAACUGAUGGUGAUGAGGCGAAUCUUAAGAGUGAUCAUGUUUUCCAGCUCGGUGAUAUGGUGCAUCAAGUGAGAGUUAUGGGAUUUAGUCUGCCUGGAGGAGUUAGAAAGAAGACAAUAUAAAUAAGAGCAAGCCAACCUUCUCUGUUUCCUUUGCGUGGAUCUCGUUCAGUUUUUGCGUCUCUGAUCUAUGGACUUCAGAAAGACGUUCUAGCCGCUUCUUGUGGUCUUCAUGCAAGGUCAGAGAUUCCAAGACUACCUUUUCAGUGGACCGAGACACAGCAAUAGCCAUCUCCCUCGCAUGAGUUUCUUUGAGUUGAGUCACUUCAACCUCUGCCUUUUUCAUUUGAGCCUGUGUUUUUCCAAUGCGUUACAUACAAGGAAAUUCUGAAAAGCAACAGGAAAUACCUCAAGAGCGUGCUGAUGAGCCAUUACUAAAGCAUUUUGUUGCUGAACAACUAAAACUCGUGUUUCAUCCUGUUCACGCCUGAACCUUCCCCGCUCCUCUUCAAACUCAGCCUCAGUCUUCUCUAUUUGUUUCUGAUAUUUCUCAGCUGCCACUCGAAUUUCUUGUGCCUGUCAUGCAGAUUAAGUGUUUCUCGAGUAUAAAUUGAAAAUGAUUUACCUUAGUUUCCUCAAACGCGUUUUUAAGAGCGUCACGCUCCAUCUGCAGAAUUUGCACAAUUACUAAACAAGCAAAGAAGAAAAAACACAGGACCAACCUGGUGGUUAUGGAGAGCAACUUCUAUAGCGAUAGCAUGCAUCUCGGUCAACUUUUGAAUCGCGCAUUCAGCUCGUUCAUGUUCGUCUUCCACGUUCUGAUGGAAUUCCUUCUCCUUCCUACAGUGAUCACAACUACGAUUAUGAACGCGUCCUUGUCUUUCGUUUACUGUUCAAGCUUGGCCAAAUAGCUUUGCAAAGCCGCCGCUUCAGCAUUCUUCUCCGCAAGUUUCGCAUCCUCAAGUUCUCGGUUUAAUGAUUCGAUGUCAGCAACCUUUUGCCUCUCUCUCGAACGAAGCUGAAAACUACCAGCUGAUUCAGAUCAAAUAAACACGAGACAAUCUUCUUACCUCUUGAGCCAGCAACUCCAGUGACUCUUCCAGCUGUGUACCCUUUCGUUGAGACUCUUGAAGUUUUCGUUCGAAAUUCAAGCACACCUUCACAUCAGAACAUAAAGCUCUAAUCGUCGACCAGUUUCAGUGUACCAGUUUAAAAUUGUCUUCAUGAUCUGUUACUUGGGAUUUUAGAGACUUAAGCUCAUGCUCACCAUGUACUUUCAGCGUCUCAAUUUCAGCCUCGAGGUGAUCAACCUUUCACAUACGACACUACAAUUGAUAUCAAAACAUAUGUUUCAUUUGCUUACCCUUUUCUGAUAAAUAUUUAAAUGAGUCAGGUGUUUCAGUUGUUGCUCCUUCAGCUUAGACUGCAAUCCCUUGACUUCUUUCCGGUGCUUCUCUCGCUGAAGUUCUCUCUGUAGAACACAAGAAGGAACAGUAAUAUAAAUAAACAAGAAAGAAGAAAAGUACUACCGUUCGCGAAAAGGCUUCCUCCAUGUUUUUCAGUUUUAACUCAUGUUCGGCCACGCGAAUUUUAAGCUUGACCUCCAGCCGUUGAAUAUAGUCUUCUUUCUAAAACACAGGAAGCAAAUAAGAAAGUUUGGACUUUUGAUUAUACUUCUGAAAGGCUUGAACGCAGCUGGGACACUUCUUCACCAAUUCCUCUCUUCACAGAAUCUAGCUCUUGAAUCUCGUCGUCCUUAACUGCUAUGUUAUAUCGUUCUUUCUCGAGCUGUUGAGACAAAGUCCAUAACAACUUAAACACUUUCAGAAAACAUCUGCCAAUGCAACGUCCAGCUCUCUCUGGGUCUUUGUUAAGGAUGAAUGCAGUUGUUCAAUCUGAAAAAAUCAACGUUAGUUAAAAAAUUUCUUCAACAUAAAACCCAUGCAAUCCCCAACCUUGCAGUUAUCAUUACUGAUAUUGUCCUCUUUCUUCUUACUGCUGCUAGUCAUCUUAUCUAACUCGUACUUUAAUCUUUGGAUCGUGCCAAAACAAAACAAGAUUUAUCGAAAAUUAGAAAAACGAAGUACUACCAGUUCAGCCAAGCUUGUCGCAGAUGCAUUCUUCUCAACACUGUGGAAGGCCACUCGGAAGAAAGAAAAAAAUUAUACCGGACAAACAGAGCCAGGAGUUUACUCUGCAUGCUCGGACAACUUGUACAUAUCUGCGAGGGCACCUUUCAAUUGCUCCUCCUGAUAUGGUGAUCAACAUGAAGCAAUUGUAAAUGUAAAUAAUUAGGAAGUCAAAACGAGUAGCACCAAAUGCCUGUUGUCUUCCUUCAGGACUUGGAUGUCGUCUUCCAAACUAGACCUCGUCUGCAAUCCUUUACGUGGCAAGAUCAUACAAGAGCGUAAGAACGAUAAAGUAGGAAACCAAAGCAAGAGAAUAAGCAAACCACCUGGAGAUGCUCCGCAUGAGCGUUCUCAAUCAAGGAAUUGGCCUCUCUGAGGCUUCCUUUCAGCAUGGCCGUCUCUUUUGCUAGAGCUUCCCUUUCCUUGUAAACAACAGUCAGCCUGUUCUGAAUGGCUAGUUUCUGAAAAAAAAGAAAAGAAAAAAACCAUUGAUAGGUGAAACUGGACCAGAUCAUUAAAAUCUUACGUCGGUAGUCAAGUCGUAUUGCAAUGCAUCAUAUUUUUGUUGAAGUGUAGACACCUUCUCUUUGUUCUCUACCUGCAAAGUAUAAAAGUUUACAAAUCGAAUCAACUGACUAGCUUACCUUCAGCCGACUGAUCUCAUCUUUGUAAUAAGCUCGAAGUUGCUGAGAAAAUAAUCAAACCGAACAUAAUAUGGACCAAAACACGUGAUUAAGCUCUCACAUCCAUCAGGUCUUUGUGUGAAGCCUCUUGCUUCAUUUGCUCUUCCUCUUGACGUUCAACCCGGGCCUGAAGUUCAGCCUCGUGCUUUUGCAAAAGAGCCUAUCUCGCUCUUUCUUUCAAUCCGUUCCUUUUCAAUCUGGCCAGUGAAAAUCAAACAAAGACCAGCAUGAAGUUGUCAUUCGCACUUAGCAACCUUACCUCUUUUUCGUGCAAAUGCUUUGCUUCUUCAAGCUCCUGAAAGCAAGCAUUUAGCCAAAUGAGAGCAAUAAAAGAAUCUUACACACAUCUGAAAGAUGGCUGAUUGUUUCUAGUGUUGUUUGGAGCUCAAGAGCCCCUUAGAUAAACCACGUGGGAAAACAGACUAACACUAAGUCAUCCACUUUGUACUUCACAGGUGGACAAUGAUGGGAGUUGUAGUGCUAUUGUUGUUCCACUUGUACACGGCCUAAGUGUUCGGUAGACUUUGCUCAGACAAAUGGAAGAAUGCUCGUCAAAUACUGAUCCCAUGAUUUAGCAUCAGCAGCUCGUGGCAAUCGCAAAGGUAAACCUAGCUUUAUUGAUAAUAUUGGAUCAUGACUAUAUAGGAGUAUAUAUGGUGAAACAUUAACAGAAUUGUGCACCCCUGUGAUAUAUGCAUAUUGAAAAGAUGGUAAAUAACCAUCCUAAUCCAAAUCCGAAUGUUGAGAGUUCACAUACUUCAUGAUUAUCCUUUUGAACGUUCGAACAAGCCAUUCCACUAGACCGUCUGAUUUUGGAUGAUAAGCACUCAUGAAAGUGUGGUGUAUCCCCAACCAAGAUGUCAAAACAUGAAAUGCCUUAGCCAUAAAUGCGGGAUUAUUAUCCAAAAAAAUCCGCUCUUGACAAAAAUGCUAGAACACCACUCGAUUGAGGAGGAAGUAUCUAACAGCAGUUGCAAAGGCACUAGCAAGAGCACCAACUUCCACCCAACGAGUCAAGUAGUCAAAAGCAAUAAUAACAUACUCAUUGUCAACAAUCGACCUUGGAAAAUGUCCUAUAAAAUCAAAUGCCACCAACUCAAACGGACGAAAAACUGCAAUUGACUCCAACCGUCUUUCCGCGGCAUGAGGGGGAGUAUUACGAGGUUGGCACCAAAUGCAACUACGUACAUACCGGAUAAUAUCACAUCAUAUCUCCAGCAAAUAGAAAGACCUGUGUAGCUUCUCGGUCACACGACAAUGCCCAUAUACCCACCUAAAAUAGGAGAAUCAUGGUAAGCAUAGAGAAACCAUAAAAUAAAGAUAGAAAGCACCACUAGCGGUAAAUGAUCAUCAAGAUCCGUCCCCACAAAAUAAAGAAGACCAUCCUCAAUGUGAUAUUAAGAAUGUAAAUGUCGGAAAGGCAAGUUAUCAGCAAGUGAUACAGGAUUUUCAAACCCAUCUCGAAGCCUUUGAAUUCACAGCUUAAUCUUUUGAGCCUCAUGAACCUCAUCAAGAGAAGGUAGAUCUUGUUCUACAUCUUAUGGACAUUGAAUGUCAAGUACAACAACCGCAAAUGGCACAGAAUCCUCGUUUAGAAAAUCCACAGAUGCUGGAACAGUAGGCUCAUCAGAAACAUGAGAAGAGAGUGGAGAAGGAAGAGGAGCUCGAAAAAGGGCAUCAACAUCAGCCAUAGAACUCCCUAGGUGAUGAACAACAUAAAAAAUGUAGUGCACUUUAUUUCUCUCCCCUUAAACUAACUGGAAAAGGGGCAAUUGCUUGAUAAGAGAGCCCUUAGUGGCUAUUUUAUCCCUAUUUAUCCCUUAAGGUUCCAAGGAUCCACAGUGAUAGUAUAUCCAAAUUUCAUCCCAUAAUCAUAUGUGUUACACUCACCCCCCCUUUCAAAGAUAUCAAUGUCUUCAUUGACUAUUAACUAACAACCCCUACUGAGCUAAAGGGAACCAAUACCUCCAUUUCUACAUUAAAUCUACCAAUCCUUCCAUUAUAUAAACUAACUAUUCCAUGUGAGGCAAUUAAUCAUCCACUCAUAUUGUAGUCCUAUGGUGGAUACCUUUGUCUAUGGAUGCUCCACCAAGAGGAAAGAUGUACGCAUGAAUGCCCAAUACGUACGAUUUCAAAUUUAGGGGUAGGAAUAUAUCUUGCUCAAAAGUAUAUUAUAUUUUUAAGUAGCCACUAAUCAAUGGGAAUGAACCCAUGCCAUUUGCUCCGAUAUCACAUGUAGCACACUUUAUCUCUCUCCCCUUAAGCCAACUGGAAAAGGGGCAAUUGCUUGAUGAGAGAGCCCUUAGUGACUAUUUUAUCCUCAUUUAUCCCCUAAAGUUCCAAGGAUCCACAGUGACAAUAUAUUCAAAUCUCAUCCCAUGAUCACAUGUGUUACAAAAUCAUAUAUCUGAAGUUUUAAAGCCCACUGAGCAAUACAACUAACAAAGUUCUUUCGCUUCAAUAAUGAAGUAAUGGCAGCAUGGUCACUUUCAAGUAACGUUCGAGAACCAUAUAGAUAUACAUGAAGUUUUUCGAAACCCCAGACUGCUGCUAAACACUCAUUCUCUGUUGUGGAGUAGUUCACCUCCACUGGUUGUAAUAUAUAACUUAUAUACGCAAUGGGAUGGCGCUGAUCAGGCACACUCGAACUCUCUUGCAUCAACACACCUCCAAGAUUAAUAUCAGAAGUAUCCACGCGCAAAAUAAAAGGUCGAAUGUAGUUAGGAUAUGCCAAAACCAAAAGAGUCGUUAAUAGCUUUUUGAGAUCCAUGAAUGCCCACUCACAAUUUGGAGACCAAAUGAAAGACGAUGUUGAUGACUUCAACAAUGUUCAUAAUGGUGUAGUGCAAUCAAAAAGGUGAUUCACAAAACGACCGAGAUACUGCACCUUACCCAAGAAGCAUUGCACAUCAAUGACACAUUUUGGAGUAAGGAACGUUAGAACAGCCACAAGUUUAUCAGGAUUAACUUGCAAACCCUCACGAGAAAUACAGUACCCAAGAUAAGUUGUGUCUUUGGACCCAAAUACAUACUUCGACCGCUUCAACUUUAAACCAACGUCUCGUAACCAAUCCAACACUUUACAAACAUCAUAAACGUGCUCCUCCCACAUCCCCUUCGAGUGGAUUAAGACAUCAUCAAUGAAAUCAGCAGUCACUUCCGGCAUAUCGCAAUGCAACUUUCAAAUAACACCCUUCUCCAAUAUUUCCUUGAUGUUUGCAUGUAAAAUCUUGAUCUCCUUAGGUGAUUGACGACGAAUAAAAACCUUGAUUGGACGAGCAUCCCUAGUUGAAAUCGAAUGACAUGUGGCAAUGCUGGCCCCAAACGAUAGGCCAAAUUCAAAGAGAUCAGAAUACUCCUUCAUGAGCCAGUCAACCAUUGCAACACAAAGAUCGUCGAACGGAUCGGAAAAGGGAAGACUAGAACAAGAUAGAAACAUAAAAAGAAAUAACAGGGGAACAAAAGUAAUGGAAGCAAAGGUAGAAGUAAAAGGAUAAAGAGGUAUGGAAGUGAGAGGAAUGAAUGAAAUAUAAGGAAGAAUGAGAUAAGGGGGAGAAGCCUCAAAGUCACACUUGGCAUGAUUACACUAUAACUAAUCUAUACCAAAGAUGAGGUCAAAAGCCAAGAAUGAUAUGUGGCAAUCACUGUGAAGUGAUCGAAUCAAUAAUACAUAUCAUCCCUAUGAUUCAUGCGAAAGAACUCCGGCCAAACGCAAGGAUUGGCACCAAGAGUAGGAGGAGUUGUACCAUGUGCCAUGAAUGCCACCAUCAAUUGAUUUUGGUUGUUCAAUUGUAAGCACAUAACAUCAAGCAAUUGUACCAACAGUUGUUUCAGAGUCAAAGGAAGAGAUUGCUAAUCUGCCAUGAAGAUGAACGAAAAGGAAAGAGCAAAAGAAGAGAAAUGACAAAAAGCUAUAAGGAAAUGGAGAUUUAGACAAUGCAAAAAGCUAUAUUUAAACCAAAAUCCUGAAAAGAAAGAACAAAAGAAAAAAGUUAGAUCUAGACGAUGCAAGAGCUCGAUCUAAACCAAAAUCCCAAAUCCAAACACUUCUUAGGGACAAUCAAAAGUGCCCCUCAACUCGUCCAAUAUGAGGGCUUGGAAUAUGGAAAGGGAAUAUAGAAAAUGUACAUAUUAAUUAGCCCAAAAACCCUAGUUUAUAUACAUGAGUGAGUGGUCUAGAUUGAAACCAAUUUGAUGGCUACUAAAUUCCCAUUAUGCUAAUAUUAGUAUAUGGCAUUGUAGCCGUACACUUGGCCCUCACAUAUUGUGUUUAUAUGUUUAUAAUUUAUAAACUUUCUUAAACACCUUUAAGUAUAUUCUAGCAAUUAAAUUCAUCUUGUAUUUAUAAAUUAUAAACAUGUUUAUAGUUUAAAUAAUUUAUAGUGUGUUCCAUGUAGCAACACUUGGUUUUUUUAAUAGUAGUAUUAUUUCUAUUUAUUAAUUAAAUUGAUUUAUAAUUAAAAACAUGUUUAUAAAUUAUAAACACAAGAUUAAUCUUAUUACAUAUCAACCAUUAAAAGGUAGAAUAAACUAGAGUAUACUAGGAAGUGUUUAGGAAAGUUUAUAAAUUAUAAUAAUAAGAUUAAUCUAAAUGAAUAACAAUCAUGAAAUGGUAGAAUAUCUUAGAAUAUCCAAUCAUAUUUUAGAUAUAUUCCAAACGACUACACUCAACCUUUUAUUUUGCACGUGGAUGUUUUUGAUAUUUGUUUUGGAGGUGUGUUGAUGCAAGAGAGUUCAAGUGUGUUUAGUCACCACUAUCCCAUUGCGUAUAUAAGUUAUACAUUAAAACCAGCAAAGGUGAACUACUCCACGACAAAUAAGGAGUGUUUAGCAACAAUUUGGGGUUUCAAGAAAUUUCAUGCAUAUCUACAUAGUUCUUGAACAUUAUUUGAAGGUAACCAUACUACCGUUACUUCAUUAUUGAAGCGAAAGAACUUUGUUAGUUGUAUUGCUUGGUGGGCUUUAAAGUUUUAAAUAUAUAAUUUUUGAUGUUGUUUAUUGCCUAGGGAGUUCUAUGGCUGAUGCUGAUGCCUUUAUCUCGAGCUCCUCUUCCUUCUCCACUUUCUUCUCAUGUUUUUAACAAGCCUGUUAUUCUAACAUCUGUGGAUUUUCUAGACAAGGAUUUUGUGCCAUUGGCGGUUGUUAUACUUGAUAUUCAGUGUCCAUAAGGUGCAGAGCAAGAUUUACCUUCUCUUGAUGAGGUUCGCAAGACUCAAAAGAUUGAGCCAUGGAUUCGAAGGUUUCGCGAUGGGUUUGAGAAUUCUAUAUCACUUGUUGAUGACUUGCCUUUCUGGCAUUUACAUUCUCAAUAUCGCCUUGAGGACGGCCUUCUUUAUUUUGUGGGGACGAAUCUUGAUAAUCAUUUACGGCUGGUGGUGCCUUCUGUCUUUAUUCCGCAGUUUCUCCAUGCCUACCAUGAUUCUCCUAUUCUAGGUGGGCAUAUGGGACAUUGUUGUGUAACCGAGAAGCUACAUAGGUCUUUCUAUUGGCCGAAGAUGCGAUGUGAUAUUGUCUAGUAUGUGCGUAGCUGCGUUUGGUGUUAAGCUCGUAAUAAUCCCCCUCAUGUCGCGGAAGGAUGGUUGGAGUCAAUUGCAGUUUUUCAUCCGUUUGAGUUGGUGGCAUUUGAUCUUAUAGGACAUUUUCCACGGUCAAUUGUUGGCAAUGAGUAUGUUAUUAUUGUUUUUGACUACUUGACUCGUUGGGUGGAAGUUGGUGCUCUUGCUAGUGCCUCUGCAACUGCUACUGGAUACUAUAAGCGACUAAAUUUUCCAUUCUACUUUAGUCACUUAACCACACCUCCAACCACUUGGAGGAGUCUCACUCACAACCUCCGUAAGUCCUAUUUCAGACUUGGGCUUGUUAGCCCCGAGAAUGGCAUCCCCGCCACUCAACCUUUGCACUCGAUCCAAGUGCUCCACGUGUCUGAUCCCAUGACCGACACCCCAAGGUACCACCGACAUAUCCGCCCGUUACGCUAAGGCCAUGCCCCUUUACCUUGGUCACACUAGUGGUCUAACACCACCUACAUCAUAGUCCCCUCUCUCAAGGACUGAGCCAUCCGUCCAUGAGUGAUCAUUCCAGAUCCACUCCUUAGCAUCCUUAAGAUGCCCACAGACAUGGGGAAUAGCCUUCCCCAAUAUCCCUUUUCCGGUCUUUGCCAAGUCCCUUUCUGGCCAUGGCCAUAUUUGCCAACACUGCCACUGGAUCAAGGCUCACAGGCCCGACCACUAAGUCCCACGGUCCUCUGGGACUUCCUCACCACACGACUGUAUCUUUAGUCACUACACCAAAGGACUGCUCCUCUGCCUUUCCACAGUCUGGGCCUUCAGGAUAACAUUUCGGAACACCGUGGCCUUAUGCAAGCCUCAUGGGUACUCUCCCCGCCUUUCGCCUUUAGGUGCUCUAGCCAUGGGCUUAGAGCAAGGUUCCAUUGAGCCACGACAGGUAUCCAGGUACGUAGUGCCACCCACACUUGGACUGGGAGCAUCGGGCAGUCGAUCUCCCGGGGGAACUAGAGCCGGCUCUUGAACACUUCACCAAGCUACCCCGCUUGUCGGUCCGUGUUCACUCUAGUCUUGGACUUCCCAAUGGGCAGCUCAUCACCCAACACUGGGUCCGGCCUUCCUGGGCCAAACUGGCCUUUCCUGGCCAAACUGGCUCCACUGCAGUCCUCCCCCUACUAUACUUUUGGAGCUCACCAAACCCCCCAGGGUCUGGGAGACGAACGCUUUGGGCUUUCACCCUCUCAGACUCGGACUCGGACUCGGACUCGGACUCGGACUCGGUCUCAGCCUCGGCCUCGGUCCCGGUCCUGGUCCCGGUCUUGUCUCGGUCUCGGUCUCAGUCCCGGUCUCAGUCUCGAUCUCGGACUCCAUCUCGGGUCCUUCUCGGACUCCAUCUCAGAUUCCAUCUCGGGUCCAUCUCGAACUCCAUCUCGGACUCCGUCUCGGUCCAUCUCGGACUCCAUCUCAGACUCCAUCUUAGGUCCAUCUCGGACUCCAUCUCGGGUUCAUCUCGGACUCCACCUCGGACUCCAUCUCGGACUCCAUCUUGGGUCCAUCUCGGACUCCACCUCGGGUCCAUCUCGGACUCCACCUCGGACUCCAUCUCGGGUCCAUCUCGGGUCCAUCUCGGGUCCAUUUCGGACUCCACUUCGGGUCCAUCUCGGACUCCACCUCGGACUCCAUCUCGGACUCCACCUCGGGUCCAUCUCGGACUCCACCUCGGACUCCAUCUCGGACUCCAUCUCGGGUCCAUCUCGGACUCCACCUCGGGUCCAUCUCAGACUCCACCUCGGACUCCAUCUUGGACUCCAUCUCGGGUCCAUCUCGGACUCCACCUCGGGUCCAUCUCGGACUCCACCUCGGACUCCAUCUCGGACUCUUCCACGUGUCAUGUGUUGGUCCUUUUGAGUCCCUUUUUGGAGCCUCGCUUAUUGCUCACUUUGUGCUCAUUCCUCGAGCACUUCGUUAGGAGUUCCACUCCCGCUCUCGACCUUUCAAGUCGGAGCUUUUGGCCCAAACGUGUUACACUCGUUUGGCUUUUGCUUCGGCCACUACCACGUGGCACCCUUCCGGCUCCACUUUGGGGCCUAGGGAUUUUGUGUCUCAUAGAUACUUCCUCCUCAAUCGAGUGGUAUUCUAACAUUUUUGUCAAGAGCGGAUUCUUUCGGAUAAUGGUCCCACAUUUAUGGCUGAGGCAUUUUAUGUUUUGAUAUCUCAAUUGGGGAUACACCACACUUUCACGAGUGCUUAUCAUUCACAAUCAGAUAGUCUAGUGGAAUAGCUCAUUCGGAUAUUCAAAAGGAUAAUCACGAAGUAUGUGAACUUUCAGCAUUCGGAUUGGGAUGGUUAUUUGCCGUUUUUUCGGUAUGCAUAUGUCACAUGGGUGUAGAAUUUUGUUGGUGCUUCACCAUAUAAACUCCUAUAUGGUCAUGAUCUAAUAUUACCAACAGAGCUGGGUUUACCUUUGCAAUUGCCAUGAGCUGCUGAUGCUAGGUCGUGGGAUUAAUAUUUGACAAGCAUUCUUUCAUUUGUCCAAGCAAAGUCUAUCGAACACUUAGGCUAUGUACAAGUGGGACAAAAAUAGUGCUACAAGUCCCAUUAUCGUCCACCUAUAGAGUACAAAGUGGAUGACUUGGUGUUAGUCUGUUUUCCCCAUUUUACAAUACGUGGUUUAUCUAAGGGGCUCUUUGCUCAGUGAAAAGGACCGUAUCGGGUGUUGCAGCAAGUGGGACCACAAGUUUAUGAAGUUCGACAUGACGUUCAGUAGACUGAUCCUCCAGAGAUUAUGUAUGUGCAAUGGUUGAAACGCUUCAUACAAAGGGAUCAAGAACAAUUAAUACCACCUACAAAUUCGCCAAUGCCUCCUCCUGACAUUCUUUCAAAUCCCAGCCCAUCUACAAGAGAACCUUGAUGGUCUUCCAUUAUUUUGAGAGGAGGGAAUGAUAUAAGGGCUAAAUGUACGGCUACAAUGCCGUAUACUAAUAUUAAUGUAGUGGGAUUUUGGUAGCCGUUGGAUUGGUUUCAAUCCGGACCACUCGUUCUUGUAUAUAAACUAGGGUUUUUGGGUUAAUUGAUAUGCACAUUUGUUAUAUUCCCUUUCCAUAUUCCAAGCACUCACAUUUUUCCAUAUUCCAAGCACUCACAAUAAUAAAUAAACAAAAUAAUUAAUAAUUUUAAAUUAAAUUAAAUUAGUAUUUUAUAUCUACCAUAAAAUUCAUACAAAACUUAUAAUAUGUUUUGAAAAUAAAAUUAAAAUUAAUCAUUUUAAAAUAAUUUGCUGCAUGUUGCAUAUAGCAAUGCUUGGUUUGCUUAAUAGUAGUGUUAUUUCUAUUAUUAACCUUUAAUUAUAAACAUAUUUAGAAUUUAUAAACACAAGAUUAAUUUUAUUGAAUAUCAACUAUUAGAUGGUAGAAUAAACUAGAAUAUAUACUAGGAAGUGUUUAGGAUUGUUUAUAAAUUAUAUAAUUUAUAAAUACAAGAUUAAUAUAAAUCAAUUACAACCUUUAUAUGGCAGAAUAUUCUAGAAUAUCCAAGCAUAUUCUAGGUAUAUCCACUAUCACACAGGUUUACUUAAGUAAACCAAAAAAUCUAGAAUAAAUAAGGCUGUGAAAUAAACUUUUAUCCCCUCCUUAAAGCCAUAUUCCUGUUGCUGUAGAGCACCACAUUCCUAGUAAGCAUUCCUCCUCCUAGUUGCAAAGUGAAAAUCAUACCCCUCAACAAGCUCCAUCUUUUGGUUGUGAGUCGCCUCCAAUGCUUCUAUUGAAGAAGAAGAAGAAAAGAAUUAAAACAAAAAAAUGGAAGGAACGAAGUUCUUACCUUCUUAUAAGCAUUGAGCUCAUUCUCGGCCUCGAGUCGCACAGCCUGCAUUUUAUUUUUCUUACUUUCAUGUAUAAGCCUCGAAAAGGAAGAAAAGAAAGAAAGAGGAAAACAAAGGCUCUACCUCGGCCGCAGCUUUGAUGCGAUCUCCCUCGACGCGAUACUGCAUUGCAUCUCUAAAGAGCUGGAGUCGCCCCACAGUUUUGCGAAGAAUCUCCUCAAUCUCGGUGUUAUGCUGGCUCACCAAACUCUACAAACAACCAAACACCCGAAAUAAUCUCCCAUUCUCCCGAAAUAUCCAUUCAAUCAACCACAGAUCGAUCACACAAACCUGGUAGUAAAUAUUGGAAUCCAACUCAGAAGAAGCGGUGAAAUGCUGGAGCAGUCCCGUUAGCUGUCCCACCUUGCUCUUCACCUUUCCUUCGAUCUCAUCCCACGACUAGAUUAGAGCGCUCACCAUCGCGCCAAGUUAGUUAGUAGCAACAUACUUGCAUUUGAACGGGUACGAUUAAUAAAAAACACCGUUUAAAACACGCAUAUAAUACAGCGUUUAAACACCAAGAAUAUUUUUAAAAAACCCUAAAGAAUAUGCUUUCUUUAACUUAGGAUUAGAGUUCAUGUAAAAUCAGGGUUCGUGGGAUCCGAAAGCGCUGAGGUAAGUCCGGGAUGGGGGGAGGAAGGCAGCCAUGCUGGAGCUGGGCUCAUGUUCUGAAACUGAGGCCGACAUCCAAGACAAGCCACGGCGUGAGUCCAUGGAAGUGUAAGUAUUAUUUACACCGGCGCGGCUGAACAAGUUCGUGCUCACCUUGGGGGUGUGAAAGGAAGGAAUGUAGAGAUUUGUAUAGGACAGGUGCCACUGGAGGUGGUGAACAAGGCUCGGGCAUCUUUUAAUCGUGUGGAGCUCACGAAGAGCUCUAUGAUUGCAGUAAGUCCCCAAGAGAGACUUGCCUUAGCUCAUGAGACUGAGGUUGGUGAGGUGAGCGACAGUGCCAGCUGCGGGGCAAGUGGUGGGGCUACCGGAGGGCUGGGCGAGGCGAGCAGCGGCAACGUUCCACUUUCCGGGAGCAACAGUCUUAAACAAAGUGCUGCACCGGCAUUGGAUGGUGACAUUCGAAAGAUGAUGAAGUCUGCAAAGGUUCAAUGUCUGGAUGAUGCAGUGGCCGAGUUCUUCUACAUUGAAAAUAUCCCUUUCAACACCAUUCGAAGGCCAAAUCUGAGGAAGUUGCUUCAAGCUGCUAUCGACUUCAGCCCUGGAGCUCUUGCACAGAUGAUGGGAUAUGAGAAGCUGCGGAGUACACAGCUAAAGAAGCUUUAUGAUAGUGUCAAUGCUCGACUUGAUCCAAUCUGUGAGGGGUGGAGAAGAUAUGGAGUUAGCAUUGUCACUGAUGGCUGGUUUGACAACUGUAGCCAAUCCUUGAUCAACUUCAUGGCCUCCAACGUCCAGGGUUCGGUUUUCUUGAAGUUUGUAGAUUCCGAGGGCAGAACAAAGAUGGGAGAGUGGAUUUGGGUCGAGUUGAAGAAAGUGAUUCAAAAAGUUGGUGAAGAAAAUGUUGUUCAAGUGAUCACUGACAAUGCAUCAAACUAUGUGCAAAUGGGAGAACUCAUGACAGCUAAGUAUCCUCACAUUCUCCACAGCCGGUGUGUGUGCCAUGUCUUGGACCUUCUCUUCGAAGACAUCGGGAGCUUGUCGUGGGUACAACCACUAGUGAAAGGCUGCAACGAGGUGGUAACUUUUAUCACCAAAAAACCUCGUGUUUUGGCUUUGUUUCGGAAGCUGAGCAAUCAGGAUCUCAUCAAGCCGGUGAGCACAAGGUUCACUUACAUGUUUCUAGUGAUGUCUCAGCUCCUAAAUCUAACGACCUUGGAGGCAUUGAAGGAGAUGGUUGUGAGCUCCGAGUGGCGGCGAUUGGACGUCACAAAGACCGCCAAAGCCCAGCGCAUUCAAACUCGGAUCUUAGAAGAGACUCUAAACUCUUUUUGGACUAGGUGCCAGCACUUGUUGGUGCUGCUUGGACUGCUCCUCAAGGUCUUGAAGCUUGUGGACUGGGAGGGGGCAACUUCCAGUCUCAUUUUCGAGGCUAUGGACCGGAUGAAUGAGAAGCUUUCAGAGGCUGUUGAGACUGGGAUUUUAGCCGAGGAAGAGGUUGAGGAGAUCAACAGGUUCAUGAUGGAGGAUCAUGGCGAGGGAGGCCAGAAAGCAGCUCGUUGGUUCCAGAUGCAUUCGAUCUUGCAUGGAGCUGCUUUUGUUUUGAACCCAACUUUUCUUCAUCUCCCUCUCGACCAAGAGGCUCAGGAAGAUUUUGUGGAGUACCUAAAGUUGUAUUGCAAAGGAGUGUGAGACACAAAAUCCCUAGGCCCCAAAGUAGAGCCGGAAAGGGCACCAUGUGGUAGUGGCCGAAGCGAGAGCCAAACGAGCGUAACACGUUUGGACCAAAAGCUCCGACUUGAAAAGUCAAGAGCGGGAGUGGAACUCCCAACGAAGUGCUCGAGGAACGAGCACGAAGCGAGCAAAAGGCGAGGCUCCAAAAAGGGACCCAAAAGGACCAACACAUGACACGUGGGAGUGUCCGAGAUGGACUCGAGUUGGAGUCCGAAGUGGAGUCCGAGAUGGACCCGAGUUGGAGUCCGAAGUGGAGUUCGAGAUGGACCUGAGUUGGAGUCCGAAGUGGAGUCCGAGAUGGACCCGAGUUGGAGUCCGAAGUGGAAUCCGAGAUGGACCCGAGAUGGAGUCCGAGAUGGAGUCCGAGAUGGAGUCCGAGGUGGACCCGAGAUGGACCCGAAAUGGAGUCCGAGAUGGAGUCCGAGAUGGACCCGAGAUGGAGUCCGAGAUGGAGUCCGAGAUGGACCCGAGAUGGACCCAAGAUGGAGUCCGAGAUGGACCCGAGAUGGAGUCCGAGAUGGAGUCCGAGAUGGACCCGAGAUGGACCCAAGAUGGAGUCCGAGAUGGAGUCUGAGAUGGAGUCUGAGAUGGAGUCCGAAGUCGAGACCGAGACCGGGACCAAGACCGGGACCGAGAUCGAGACCGAGACCGAGACCGAGACCGAGACCGAGAUCGGGACCGAGACCGAGACCGAGGCCGAGGCCGAGACCGAGCCCGAGCCCGAGCCCGAGUCCGAGUCCGAGUCCGAGUCCGAGUCCGAGUCCGGAGCCUGAGUCCGGAGCCUGAGAGGGUGAAAGCCCAAAGCGUUCGUCUCCCAGACCCUGGGGGGUUUGGUGAGCUCCAAAAGUAUAGUAGGGGGAGGACUGUAGUGGAGCCAGUUUGGCCAGGAAAGGCCAGUUUGGCCCAGGAAGGCCGGACCCAGUGUUGGGUGAUGAGCUGCCCACUGGGAAGUCCAAGACUAGAGUGAACACGGACCGACAAGUGGGGUAGCUUGGUGAAGUGUUCAAGAGCCGGCUCUAGUUCCCCCGGGAGAUCGACUGGCCGAUGCUCCCAGUCCAAGUGUGGGUGGCACUACCUACUUGGAUACCUGGUGUGGCUCAACGGAACCCGCUCUAAGCCCAUGGCUAGAGCACCCAAGGGCAGAAGGCGAGGAGAGUACCCAGGUGGCUCGCAUAAGGCCACGGUGUUCCGAAAUGUUGUCCCAAAGGCCCAGAUUGUGGAAAGGAAGAGGAGCAGUCCUCUGGGGUAGUGACCAAGGACACAGUCGUGUGGUGAGGAAGUCCCAGAGGACCGUGGGACUUAGUGGUCGGGCCUGUGGGUCUCGAUCCAGUGGCAGUGUUGGCAAACUCGGCCAGGGGCAGAAAGGGACUUAGUGGGGACUGACAGAGGGAUAUUAGGGAAGGCUAUUCCCCUUGUCGGUGGGCAUCCUAAGGAUGCUAAGGAGUGGAUCUGAGAUGACCACUCACGGAUGGUUUUCCUAGUCUUGGAGAGCCAAGACGGUGAUGCAAGUGGUAUUGGACUACCAGUGUGGCAAAGGUGAUUGGGCAUGGCCUUAGCGUAACGGGCUGCUAUGUCAGUGGUACCUUUGAGUGUCGGUCAUGGGAUCGGACACGUGGAGCACUUGGACCAAGUGCAAAUGUUGAGUGGCAUGGAUGCCAUUCUCGGGGCUAGCAAGUCCCAAGUCCUGGAUUGGACUUAUGGAGGUUGUGAAUGAGACUCCUCCAAGUGGUCAGAGGUGUGGUUAAGUGACUAAAGUAGAAUGGAAAAUUUAGUCGCUUACAAUUUGGUAUCGGAGCUGUUCCUUAGUCCAACUUUUAUUGGUGCUCAAGUAUAUCACCACUAGUGUUGGCAUCGGAAGGUCCGAGGAGUGGGCCUAUCCUUGAGGAGUAGCAAGUCGGGAAGACAUGGCUCUCCAUUACAGUUCAUGUAUGAACUUGUAGACGAGGUGGUGGAUAGAAAAGGGCCAAUAAUGGAACGACUUUGGGAUCUUGGGAACAGUGCAAGGUUUUCCUCAUUGAGUUGAGGAUGUGAUCCAGAUGAGCAUUUGUCUCAGCAAAUUGGCUAUGGUUGUUGUGGUAAACAACUAAAGUUGGGAUCACGGGAAAGAUAGAGACUCCAAAACAAUAAAGGAGUCACAAAAUUAUCCUCAUAUAGUUGAGGUUGGUGCUCAUGAAUGUGAGACCAGAGGUAAUGACCGUGGGAGGUCAAAUACGGAAGAGGACUCAAGUCCUUGAAAUGGUAGCCAGGGCUACCUUUAAUAAAUGCUGGAACAACCCAAGGAGUUGGGGGGUGUACUUAGGGAUGAGUUGGUGUUCUCAUCACAUGGACAAGUAGUCCUAAGGGGCAAAGGUUGCCCCCAGAGAACAAAAUCAAGUGUCGGAGUAACACUUGUGAAAAUAGUCCUUUUGAGUAGGACAGGAAUGCAAGAAGUGUGUUCAUGUGAGCUAGUGCCUCACAAGUAGGACCUUACGGGUCUGUGGAUUAACUAAGUCCAAAACUGCUGGAUGACUCAAGUAGAGUCAACGGAUGGUCCUAAAAGGACUGAUGGAAGCAUUUGGACUGAGGUGUGUUGUACCCCACAAAGGAUGGGAGGGGAUCAUAGGAUCCAAGGAUGAGAACAGAGGGUAUCUCAUCGAUGGCAAAAUGUGCCAUGCUAAAGUUAUGGGAAAGGUGUUCCCAGAAGAAAACAACUUUGACAUAAAGUUGUGUGUGACCUCUAUGGUGCAGUGCUAACGGAUGGUUGGCAUGAGAAAGAGCGGUGUUGGUCUUGGCAAAGACUUAGACACGAAGGGGAAAUGUCAUAGAGGUAGGCUCGUGGAGCCGAUGGUGUGGAGACACCAAAUGUGCCAAGGUGUGAUACCUUGAGGCUAUGUUGGUGGGUUCAUGAGAACCCCUUGCCAAAGGAAUCCCAAUGGAAAUGGGAAUAGCAUAGCCUAAGCUGCAGAGCAUACAGUUGGAGUGUGGUGACCCAGAUAAUGAUGGAGGUGUGGAAGCACUAGCAAUGAGUUGUAGGACUUGACAACUACAAGGCAACUAAGCAAGAGGUGCAAAAUAACUAGUUAAACGGGUAGAAGGUAGCUACCCAAGACUUCUUAAUAGCAUAGGGAAGUUGGAUAUACCCUUACGGGGGAUAAGUUGCUUGUGUUGCGAUAUAGUAAGUCAAUGUCAUAAAAGGAAAUACUCAUUGUCAAGAAAGCCAUCAUUGGGACACCCGAACACUCUAGAACACCAGAAGGUGGUGUUUGAUGUCGCGAGAGCAAUGGAUAAAGCCCAAGGGACUAAGUCCCUAGCGAAUGAUGGAUAGAAGGUGCUAUCCAAAUGUCCAAGGUUGCGGAGACAGGAGAGGACUGUCUACCCGAGUUGGACAAAGCCAAAAAUGGAAUUUUGGCAAGGCUAGUGAUGGGCAUGUAAAGGCCCAUAAGCAACAACGUAAUCCCGGUGUGUGGGAUUAUAGGGUGAGCAUACCUGGAUUGAGGAACCACUCCCUAGGCUAUUGGGUAGGUUCAUCCCUAAGAAUACUUGCUAAAGCAUGAUAGAAAGUGCAAAGCUAUCCUCCUGGUCUGAAGGAGAAUGACCAAAGGAAAGGUGUGAAGCCAAAAAGCAAGAAGUAAGGGGAUAGAACCGAACCGUAGGAAUCAAAGGGCAUAACCAAGGUUUGUUAUGCCAGCUGGGAGUGGAGAAUCAAGUGGGGGCUUGAGGGUGUUGCCGUUAGCAACCGUGAUGCCAUGGAGAGUCUAAAAUAUGGAAUUGUCCAUGUUAGACUAUGUGGCAUUUGGAAGGCUUGCAAAAAGGGAGGCCUUAGCAAGCUGAGGGACAGAGUUCCUUCAAGGUUCCCAAAGACGAUUCUAGGUAGCUUAGUACCUAGAAAGGCCAAGUGUAAAUGGUUCAUGGAACGCGCGAAAUCAGAGUGGCGCAGCAGAAGCGUGGUCUUGAAGCUUGCCAUGAGGCAAGGCUAUCAAGGUUAGGGAAGUAGUUCUUGAGUGUUCAAAGAGAGGGCUUUGAACGAAAGUCGAUGGUCAAGGACUUUCACGCUUAUGCAGGAACCAUGUUACAGUGGUCGGAGGACUUGCCAAGCAAGAUUGGCACGUCGGGGGAACAAAUACCCUAGUUGAAGGUGAUAACUUCAAAAAGGGUGGGCCAUGGGGCCGAGCAUGGAGGAGUCCAUGCAUGAUCACAGACAUGUCAAGUGAGAGGACUUGGCAGUGUGGAGGAACUAGGUUCCUAAGCUGUGAUCAAUAGCGCGCUUUAAAAAUAAGUUGGUGCACCGGCGUGGGGAGUCAUGCCAGGCAUCUUGUGUGAUGCCGUCCGUAGAUGCAUAUACGGAGGUUGGGUUCGAGUCCCGACCCUCUAGUGCUUGGGUUCGAGUCCCAAAUCACUAGGGCGUGGUGAUGGUUUGGAAUAUGAAGACACUCAUAUUUCGGUGGUCAUGGACUCUCAGUGGGGAGACUGGUUUGGGCACACCGCCAAGCGAGGGAUGCCUCGGAGUCAUGAUGCACGGUUAGAUUGCUUAGUGUGAAAGCUCGGCAUAUCUAACUUGAACGCUUUGGUGCGAGUGGCACCAAGGACGUGGUGAGUGAGAUGGGGACACCUAAUCUCAGUUGCUAUGGACCCUUGGCCGGAAGGGCUGGCUUGGGCGCACCGCCAAGUGUGGGGGAUGCCCCCGGGGUCGUAGUUAACAAAUUAAAGGUCUGGAAGACCUAGUACCUAUUGGCAAACCUGUUAAGGUGCCGAGGUGAGAUCACUAGGUGAUCUUGUGGCUAAAUAAGGACAAGGUCCUUGUUUGGGUUAAGGAAUAAGGUUCCUAGUUCAAAGUGUUGAUUUGAACUAUUGAUGAUGAUGUGGCUUGGUCAAGGUGACCAAGUGGGAAAAGCACCCUAGGGAAAUGAGCUAUGUCAUUGCGAUGGCAUAGUGUGUCCAAGGAAAGUAGUCUCUAAAGAGACCCAUGGGAGGGUCACAAAGUUGGGCCGUGGAUAGAGCCCACAGCAGAAGAUGCUAAAGAGACUUACUAGGGGCGAACACCCUAGUCUUGGCAAAGCAGAGCCUUUGCUAAGGAAUCACAAGAAUACCUCAAGGAGGGAGGUAGAGAUUCGAUGUUGCUUGGUGCAACAAUCAACGGAUAGGAGCAAAAGAUGAGUGGCCAAGAUAGGGCCGUGGAAUCCCUUGGAAGGAAUCCAAGUGACAAAGUUAGGCAAGGAACACUAAUGUGUUGGACGCUAACAAAUUCCGGAAAAGGAAGUGUGUUUCCAAGGAUGAAUUCCGAAUUGCUCUGAUUUGGCGAAAGUGGAAGCUCCAAGGGAGGGAGCGGUAAGGUAGCCAAAUGAUAGGGCUAUGGACAGCCCUAGCACAAAGUAUGAUAAAUGGAACUUAGUGCCCAAGGUGGCACGAAAUAGAAAAGAGGAUGAUGGUGCCCUCAAGUAAUGAGCUUCCUAGGAUGGGGAAGUGGAGUUGCACAAUCUGUGCAAUGCAAGGUGUUGGAGACACCUAGGAAAUUGACUUCCAAAAGUCAAAAGAGUAAAAGUUCCAAGGUGCAAACGUUCAAUAGAUGGAAAUUGAGACUACUUGAGAAGGAGUAGUGGGAUUGACUUAGAGAAGGGUCUCUAAGAGGUUUAGCGAGAACUAAACCAAUAAAAGGAGAGAACCACUACAUGUGGUCCAAUCAGUCUCUAACUUGGAGAGACUACCCCCCUUAGAGGAUAGGUAAGGCAUGGUGAGCCUUUAGUGUCAAACCAUUGAGGAAUAUGCAAAAGGCAUGGUGAGCCUUCAAUGGCAAACCAUUGACGAAUAUGGAGAAGGCAUGGUGAGCCUUCAAUGUCAAACCAUUGACAAAUAUUGGCUAGGUGCCAAGGAUGGAAAUGGUAACACAUGCGGGUGUUACUUUAUAAAAUGGUUUACCGUUCGAUGAGGACAUCGAACUUCGUCUAUGGGUGGUGGAGUUGUGAGACACAAAAUCCCUAGGCCCCAAAGUAGAGCCGAAAAGGGCGCCACGUGGUAGUGGCCGAAGCGAGAGCCAAACGAGCGUAACACGUUUGGACCAAAAGCUCCGACUUGAAAAGUCAAGAGCGGGAGUGGAACUCCCAACGAAGUGCUCGAGGAACGAGCACGAAGCGAGCAAAAGGCGAGGCUCCAAAAAGGGACCCAAAAGGACCAACACAUGACAUGUGGGAGUGUCCGAGAUGGACUCGAGUUGGAGUCCGAAGUGGAGUCCGAGAUGGACCCGAGUUGGAGUCCGAAGUGGAGUUCGAGAUGGACCUGAGUUGGAGUCCGAAGUGGAGUCCGAGAUGGACCCGAGUUGGAGUCCGAGAUGGACCCGAGUUGGAGUCCGAAGUGGAAUCUGAGAUGGACCCGAGAUGGAGUCCGAGAUGGAGUCCGAGAUGGACCCGAGAUGGAGUCCGAGAUGGAGUCCGAGAUGGACCCGAGAUGGACCCAAGAUGGAGUCCGAGAUGGAGUCCGAGAUGGACCCGAGAUGGAGUCCGAGAUGGAGUCCGAGAUGGACCCGAGAUGGACCCAAGAUGGAGUCCGAGAUGGAGUCUGAGAUGGAGUCCGAGAUGGAGUCCGAAGUCGAGACCGAGACCGGGACCGAGACCGGGACCGAGACCGAGACCGAGACCGAGACCGAGACCGAGAUCGGGACCGAGACCGAGACCGAGGCCGAGACCGAGCCCGAGCCCGAGUCCGAGUCCGAGUCCGAGUCCGAGUCCGAGUCCGAGUCCGGAGCCUGAGUCCGGAGCCUGAGAGGGUGAAAGCCCAAAGCGUUCGUCUCCCAGACCCUGGGGGGUUUGGUGAGCUCCAAAAGUAUAGUAGGGGGAGGACUGUAGUGGAGCCAGUUUGGCCAGGAAAGGCCAGUUUGGCCCAGGAAGGCCGGACCCAGUGUUGGGUGAUGAGCUGCCCACUGGGAAGUCCAAGACUAGAGUGAACACGGACCGACAAGUGGGGUAGCUUGGUGAAGUGUUCAAGAGCCGGCUCUAGUUCCCCUGGGAGAUCGACUGGCCGAUGCUCCCAGUCCAAGUGUGGGUGGCACUACCUACUUGGAUACCUGGUGUGGCUCAACGGAACCGCUCUAAGCCCAUGGCUAGAGCACCCAAGGGCAGAAGGCGAGGAGAGUACCCAGGUGGCUCGCGUAAGGCCACGGUGUUCCGAAAUGUUGUCCCAAAGGCCCAGACUGUGGAAAGGAAGAGGAGCAGUCCUCUGGGGUAGUGACCAAGGACACAGUCGUGUGGUGAGGAAGUCCCAGAGGACCGUGGGACUUAGUGGUCGGGCCUGUGGGUCUCGAUCUAGUGGCAGUGUUGGCAAACACGGCCAGGGGCAGAAAGGGACUUAGUGGGGACUGACAGAGGGAUAUUGGGGAAGGCUAUUCCCCUUUUCAGUGGGCAUCCUAAGGAUGCUAAGGAGUGGAUCUGAGAUGACCACUCACGGAUGGUUUGCCUAGUCUUGGAAAGCCAAGACGGUGAUGCAAGUGGUAUUGGACUACCAGUGUGGCAAAGGUGAUUGGGCAUGGCCUUAGCGUAACGGGCUGCUAUGUCGGUGGUACCUUUGAGUGUCGGUCAUGGGAUCGGACACGUGGAGCACUUGGACCAAGUGCAAAUGUUGAGUGGCAUGGAUGCCAUUCUCGGGGCUAGCAAGUCCCAAGUCCUGGAUUGGACUUAUGGAGGUUGUGAAUGAGACUCCUCCAAGUGGUCAGAGGUGUGGUUAAGUGACUAAAGUAGAAUGGAAAAUUUAAUCGCUUACAAGGAGAUCGAGGACUUCAACACGAGCUACUGCACGAGUUUCAAAGUUUCCGUCAACAACUUGGCCAUUUGUUCUCUUCGGAGGCAGCAAAGCAAGUGUGUAUAAACUGUUUGUUUGUCAACUUUUUAGACUGAUUCUCUUGUAUAGAUGGAGAACUGGAAACACCCGGUGAGUUGGUGGAGCAACUUUGGUGUAAGCACACUAAAACUUCAAAGGCUUGCUUUACGGAUCUUGAGUCAACCAGUUUGUGCUUCACCAUGUGAGCAAAACUGGAGCUCAUGGAGCAUGAUCCAGACGAAGAGGAGGUCUCAACUGCUCUCCAAAUACUCGGAGAAGCUGGUUUUUGUGCACAUAAAUAUGCGUGUCAUACAAAAGAUCGAGUCCGGGAGUUUAAGGCUUAUUGAGCAUGAUCUUGAUAACCUUGAGCUUGAGCCUUAGUGGCAAAGGAUCCUUGCACUUCAGGAAGUUGUUGAAGAACCUCUUCAACAACCUAAUGACGACGGUGCUAGUGGUGAUGAUGUUUUAGAUUCGGAGGAUGAAGAUUAGAUUAAACUUAUAUUAUAUUAUGUUAAAUUUUGUUUAGUAACAGUUAAUUAUUUUUUAAUUAUAUUAAAACUGAAAACCAUUAUACCCGUUCGAAAAAAAGCUAAAUGGGUAUUAAACGUUCAAUACCCGUUCGAAUCCGGUUGGGUUCGAAUAUGAGUAGCAAAACAUUGGCCAAGAACCCUAAAAAGAAUGGCUAUGGUAGAAAUUUCUCUUCUCUUUGAAAGAAGGCGCUGGUAGGGUUUGCGGAUCGAUCGAUCGAUGAGUUCCAUUCUUAGCGAGGGCGACGCCGAGAGCAGCAGAAGCAGUCUAGAUCGACGAGAGCCGCGAGGGCCGGACGCUCUGGUGAUCGCAUUUCGGAUAUUUAGCGCUCUCACUGCGAUCUCGGCCUUGCUGUACGAGUGUGAUUUCGGUGGUGCGAGCCUUCAAGCAUGGCUGCGAUGUAAGUUUCUCUUCUCGUCCAACAUCGAGCAUAGAUGGAUGUUUCACCUUCGUUUCUACAGAUAUUUGAAGGGACUCUUCGCUGCUACGCGGUAGUGAUCGCGCUCUUCGUCGCUGUGGCCGAGACCGAAUGGGAAUUCUUCUUGAAGUUCUGGCGUGUAAGUUCUAGAACCGCUUUUCUUCUGCUCUUUCGAUGUGAUUACUCGCUCGUUUUGUGCAUAGGUUCUUGAGUACUGGGUUGGACGAGGCAUGCUGCAAAUUUUGUAAGCUUCUCUUACAAAAUUUCUUUCUUCGCUCUUCUUUGUUAACGAGAGCUUUGUUUUGCAGUGUAGCAGUGAUGACAAAGGCCCUAUCAGAUGAGCACAAGGACCGUGCUUAUCAAGUGGUCUUUUCGGAAGUCGCUAGUGGAAUGCUCCUGGGAUGUGGUGCCGUUUACGUUGUAGCAGUGAGUAUGCUUUUGUUCGUUUUCUUGGAGGUUUUACCACUGUUUUCUUCCAUCAACUGGCAGGGCCUUUUGUGCAUUAGAAAAUUCAAGCGUUUCCGCAUUGAAAAAUCAAAAGGGCGCGAGAAGGCUGCUAAAGAUCUCGAGGUAUCUCUUGCGUAGAUUUUGCGAAUUGUGCUCUCAUCUGGAUUUGCAGGAGCUAGAAAAGAGAAGGGGUGAAUUACAAGCCUUGCUCUCUGCAAGAGGUUGACGAUUUAUGUAUUUCAUGUAGUUUUACGUCUAAAUGAGACUCAGGUUCUGGCAUCUUCGCUAUAUGCUGAUUUUGAGAGUGUAAGUUUUUAAAAUUUAGUUCAAAGAUGCUUUGCCUGCAGGUUUGCAGGCAUUCUUGCUUACAUUUUGCUUACAGAACUAUAUCCAAUUCUAACUUUGCGAUUCUUCUUCUUCCUGCAGUAGCAGCUCUUGCGUCAGCUUUUUGAGAUACGUGGCUUGUUUUAGAAGCUCGUGGCAGCAAAAGCCGAUUGCUCCAAUCGUCAACGCGGCUUCCGAAUGCACUAGCUGGAAAUCUCCGUAGAUUUCUUCUGGAGGUGAGGUGUCGACGUCGUCUUUGAUGCUAGACUCUUCAAACUGAUUCUCUAUGUCUGCAGUAUGCUGGGCCUUGCUUCUUUUUUGGCGCAGGGACUGAUAAGUGCACUCGAAAGUUUUUGAGAGGCCAAUUUGGCUUAUCUUUAGUUGGCGAGUGACACCACCAGUGAACAGUUUGCCUUCUGACCGGAAGUCGACUGUUGCGAGGCUCAGGUAACUCACUCUGACUCUCCCAGAGCUUGCUAUAGAUAUUGUCAUGAAACGGUGCGUGCCAGAAGUCAGGCUCUGCUCUUGCUUCGGCUGUAAGUUGUCUCAGACGUUCAACUCCAUCUCUGAUUGUUUGCUUCUUCUUUCUCAGCUCAGGUAUCGUUGCUUUAAAGCACUCACUGCAUUCUAUGCUGUGCACGUCAAAUAUCACCUGCAUGCAUUCCUGGAUUUUCUUCAAGUUAAGCUCGAGUUCCCUGCGUGCAAGUCUCACUGCUCUUCUGGAACAGAUGAGUGCUUCAACAGGCCAAGAACAGGCCAUUGCCAUGCGAAGAACUGCAGAGUCUUGAACAAUUCCGGGUCGCCUUCUUCCGAGGAUUCCUACGUCGAGCUGGUUUCAUGGGAUGGAGAACUGGCUGUGACGGAACGGAAGAAAGCUGUGGCUCAAUCAAGGACGCGGCCUUUGUCAUCUCAUAUCCGGAAGUCUCUAGCUCGAGCAGCUCGAGAACUUCCAGAGGCUACCGUUCCUUACGAAUUCUCCCAGCGGGCGUGUCACGCUCCGGCUAGGGUCUCCGGGAUCGUGGAGCUCCUGAGCUUUACUGUGUAGAAGAGAGCGCUCGUCUCGGACGUCCCCACCUUGGCUGGCAGCCGAGCAAUACGUUUUCCUGCGAGAGGCAUACCUGGUGGCCGAAGAAGCCGGAGAAGAGCACGGUCUGGUGAUUAAUCAGGAGCUUCUAGCAAGUGCUACAAAUCAGGUACUGUGAAGAUCAAACGCGGUCAAAAGCAGCAGAUGGGGAUGAAGCCGCGAGAGCAAACAAGACAACUCAGCUACUCUGACCAAGCCGCUCCAAACCAUCCAUCCACGGGUAUCCACGAAGCCUCCGGUAGAUCACACCAGAGUAAACCGGUUGUUUACUUGGGUCUAGCACCCACCUCAAGAUCUUGCCGGCAUUCUGGUCCUCAGUGUCAACAACAUCCACCGCAGUUUCCUCCACUCUGCCCUCCUGUUUCGGGGCUUCCAGACCAGGAGCAUCAGUAUACCAUGUGUACGCCCAAGACAGAAGCGGAGAGAGCGCCUUGAUAAACAGCAAAGUCAUCAGCAUGCACAGCAAUCCCCCCGGCACCGAUGUGACUAUCAUAACAACGUUGUAGCGGAACAAAGGUGGCAAGACUGCAAAGCCUGCACAUGCAAACGCCACGAGAACAAAGCAAAUCGAGCCAACCAGCAGGCUUGCAGCGAGGAGCAGUGUCCACCUCAGCCUGUCAAUGACACCCAAGUCAAACACCUGGGGCAGUGGGAGGAUGCCUGCAACUCCAGCCAGUGCGCUUGCCAUUGCAAAGAAGAAGGAGAGGCUGUUGAAGAUCCAGAAUGCUUUCACUCCUGGAUUGUUGAUGGCCACAUACUUGAGGUCAUCCUCCUGCUGGCCGUGGUUCAUGAACUUCAGGGAGUAUUGCAGAGGUGGGCUGAGGGAUCCACUGUAUGUCACACUUGCAAUCAGAGCUGCCCCCACCAAUAUGGCAUUGAGGGCAUCUACAAACACUUCCCGGUCCCUGUGCAAGUUGUCCAGGUACUGUUCCCACUUCAUGCUGUUGAGCAGAAAGCUGUUUUUCCAGGAUUUUGGAGCAUACCAAUAUGGUGCCUUUCCAAAGUUGUCAAAUAUGUCAACUCUACAAUUCCUUGUAUGGAGGAUAGAGAGGGUGGUAGAGGUCUCCUCAAAGAUGGUGGACCAAUGCAAGGCAGUCCUGCCUGUGUGAACCCCCUUGUCAUUUGGGUACUCCAGCAUCCCUCCAAUCUUCCUGCUUUCUAAAAGAUCUUCAACUUUCUUUACAAGAGCUUUGCUCUUGUUCUCCUCUUGGUUCGAUCUUCCACUGUCAGUACUUUCUGCUGUGCUUUUCUCUUUCAGCCUUGUAAACCAGUAAGCCAGAGGGAUGUCCUCCACCAAGUUAGAGAUGCUCAUGUGGACCAAAUGACUACUUCUGUGGACCCUGUUUAGAUUCUCUUUUGAUUCCUGGUCAGACCAACGAGGCAGGACUGACUUGAUCAGAUCGCCAAGCCCCCAUCGACUGCUUGCUGUAGCUAGCCUCGUGGCAAAUCCGGAUUUCCAUACAUCUGCACUAAGGAAACCAAUCUUGAAAGCAUCCACCAAAAACUGGCUGCUAGAAGCAUAUCUAUUUAGCUGCUCUUUGCCACGACGAUCUAGCUGGCUUAAGAUCUCCAAGGCCCUGAACAUUGGCUCUACAUCGCUCGCUCGUGUUCUUCCCCUUGUUGUGUUCUUGGCAUAGAAUGCGGCCCAUUCCAAUAUUCGUGAUUCCUUGACUAUUUUUAAAAUGUAAUCCUUAGCCUGCUCGUCUGAUGAGAAUUUAAUGAGAAGUGAUGCAAGCAUUUCAUUUGUGUGGUUACCUCCUAAGGCCGCAAUGCAAGCCAAUAAUCCAGGCUCAAGUUUCCUGUGCUGCGCCUGAAUAUGGUUUAAUACUUUCCGACACACCAAAUCUGGCUCAUUUGAGCGAUGGGCUUCAAUUGAAUGAAACACCUGUUGCCACCUUUCAAAGUCCACAUUCCCAUUAAACAAUCUUACACUUCUUUCCAAGUGAGAGUUGACAAGCCAAGUAUAUCUUCCAGAUCCUCUAAUGACAGCCCAGUGCCAUGGCAUAAGUCCUUCAACAGAAUCCUCAGCAGUCAAAUCGGCAUUCCUGUCUAUCAACCAUUUCCCUGCUUCCUCUUUAUCAUUCCAAGCUGCAUAAUGCAGCGGGGUCAAGCCAGUCUUUGUUGCCUUGCUGAUUUCCAGCUUCUCCCCUAGCUUCUCCUCCAAGAGCUCAAGAACCUCAACCUUCCUACCUUUACCUCUACAAGCAAAGUGCAACAUGCCAGUGCCCAUGUUGUCAGUCUUGUUUAUAUCAGCUUUGAGCUCGAGCAAACGCUCAACCAUUUUAGUGUUGCCUCCUGCAAAUGCAAUGUGCAAAGGUGUCUGCCCCAUGUUGUUAGUGCAGUCUACGUCCCAAGGGUCCCCACCUUCCUGCAGCUUCUCCACCACCAUGUUCAGAACCGCAACAUCCUGUCCAUAAGCUGCUACAUGCAAAGAGGUCUCCCCUGUAAACCUGCUGUCCUUCUCAACUAGUAGCUGAGCAAGACGAUUAUGCUCGACGUCAAAGUGCCUAAAUAGAGGCUUCACCAGGUCCAGUUUCCCAAUACAAAGGCAGUUAUGCAAGACUAAGAGAUGCCCAACCUCGGGAACUGUCAGCAAUCGCAUAAGCUCUUCAGAAAUACCUGCUAGGUCGGUUGACAGUAUUCUCUUGAGGACUUUCCUCAUGAUUCUCACCUGGAGAGGCUGAUGCACCUUUCCCAGCAGCAUCAAUGGUGAAAGGCCAGCUUUGUUGAGUUUGUAAAGACUAGCACCCAGUUUUAUCAACAAAAUACACAUAUUGUCACGUCCUUUUGUCAUAGCCACGUGAAGAGGCGUGUUGCCAUCGUUGUUGACAUACUGAUCGGCAUCAAAGUUGGCUCCUAACCGUUCAAUCAUAUAGUUGAACGUGCCAUGGUAACCACAAAAAGCAGCUACAUGAAGUGGGGUAUUCCCAUCGUUAUCAGGCCUCACGAUGUCAUCAAUGCUCGUCGGAAGUAAAGUUAGCAAACGGAUAACAUUUAUUCUAUCCACGAAUGUAACCGCUAUGUGCAAGAGUGUUUUUCCUUUGUUGUUGCACAAGCCCACAGCUUUUAGCUUCUUCUUCUUGAUUUGUUCAAGCAAUACCGCAAGAACCCCUGCAACGUUGCUCAUAACGGCUGCAUGAAGUGCAGUGUUGCCAAGCCCAUCCUUUUUGAGGAUGUCUCUGAUGCUUCUGGGAAGUAAAGCCUUGACCAGACUGAGAUUCCCACUCGCGCUUGCCCAAUGGAGUGCCGUGGUGGCACCAUGGUCAAAAACGACAUUGUGGAUAUCCCAGCCAUUUUCUAUCAUGGCCUUUACUUUAUCCUCGCAGCCAGGGUCACCCGGAUUACCAAGGAGCGCUUUAAAUUGUUCUGCACAAAAGGAACCACUUCAAAGCUAAGUAUACACUUGUAAGAAGAGAUCAAGAGCUCGAGACGAGAUACCAUCGAAAUCUAGAUCUUGCUUGGCUCCCUCCAUUCUGGAAAGUGUGGAUUGCAAGCUACUCAUUAUGUUUGUUAGUUUCCUGGAUUGUUCUACAAGCUCUGCACAACAAAAGCUAAGCCAUUUGAUUCUUAUGAGGCACAUACAUACCACCAGCAACUUCAGCGAUAUCCACAUUCGUUGUUGUCAUCUUAGGCAAGCUGACUUUGUGUUGAUCCGCAGCCUCCACCAGCACCCCACCAAAUUCUAUAAGCACCAGUCCUUCACAAGCUCUCACCACCUCCAAAUGAGUGAUGCCUAGCGUCGCCCACUUCUCCCAAUCUUCCGAAAUUUAGGUCCAGCCACAAUGGGAUUUUAUAGAAGACUAAAAAGAAAAGCAGGAUUCGCUUCUACAUCGAAGCAUUCUGAUGCACGCUAGCAAGUUCACUUGAAUGAAUUUACUUGCCUAGCGUGAAUGGCAGCCUGGAGUGGGCGACUGCUCGCUCGAGUAUUCCACUCCAGAGGAGAAGGAAAAGUUCCUGGAGCUCAUGAAGAAGAGGGCCGAGAGCGAGAAACUGGGCGACGCGGUGGCGCAAGAAAACAAAGAGGAAACAACGCAACCAACAGCAGACACUCCUCUCGCUCAAAAAAAACAACGCAAGCAACGACGAACGCGUCGGUCGCGCAACAAGAAAAUGACGAGGGAGCAUAUCUUAAGAGCCACAGCCUCCACCCACUUGAAACACUUUGCCUAGCCAAGCCAAAGUGCAAUAAAAAAGCCAAACCUAGGCCACUAGCUUUCAUCAUCACCAAUAAAUGCCAUCCACCUGGCCCUAGCUUAUAUACUGGUUUAGUGUCCUCAAUCCACGCCCCGGCAUGUGGGAUAGGUUUAAUUCCACGUAAUCCAGAGCCCUAACUUCUGUUUUGACUUGGAUUUCAUGAUUGUUCCCUCGUCGCGCCACCACGUCGCCCAGUUUCUCGGUCACUCCAGGCUGCUUAACUCGCUAGUCGCUCGUAAACUUUUGCUGUUCUUCCAAGUCAAAAUGCUUCUUGAAUUAUGUCAACGAGGCGAGUCAACAGCGGUCAGCAGAGUUUGCGGUUUAGUUGCUUAUCCAAGAAUAUGCUCCUGAUUCUCACGCGAACUUUUAUAACUUUAACAUCGGAAGAAAACAAUGCCGACGUCUGGCUUUAAUUUACCAGGUGGCACUUAGAAUGCUCUAGAACUUUAUUUCCACACGGUUGCCUUGACGAGAUGCUGAGCGUGAGCCUUGCGCCGAUCGCGAUGGGCUCCUUGGCUUCAAUUCAAUCGAUGUCUAGCAUAACAUAGAGGGAAAAAUGAAUCGAAUCGAAAGUGAGGAGUCUGAACGUAAGGUAAGUUUACCGGCUGGACCACUGGGGAGCUCCUGAAGAUUUUGUUGUAGUUUUCUUCUCGGUUUAGCAUUUCCAUCUUGAUUU
rnacentral:lncRNA from 1 species